UCGGGAAUUUUGGGCAAUGGGCGAAAGCCUGACCCAGCAACGCCGCGUGAAGGAUGAAGUAUUUCGGUAUGUAAACUUCGUAAGAAUAGGAAGAAUAAAUGACGGUACUAUUUGUAAGGUCCGGCUAACUACGUGCCAGCAGCCGCGGUAAUACGUAGGGACCAAGCGUUGUUCGGAUUUACUGGGCGUAAAGGGCGCGUAGGCGGCGUGGUAAGUCAUCUGUGAAAUCUCCGAGCUUAACUCGGAACGGUCAGAUGAUACUGCUGUGCUAGAGUACAGAAAGGGCAAUCGGAAUUCUUGGUGUAGCGGUGAAAUGCGUAGAUAUCAAGAGGAACACCUGAGGCGAAGGCGGGUUGCUAGGCUGAUACUGACGCUGAGGCGCGAAAGCUAGGGUAGCAAACGGGAUUAGAUACCCCUGUAGUCCCUGAGCGGGCUGGCAAGGCGCAU
rnacentral:rRNA from 1 species